ACAGAUUAAAAAUGGCCAAGGCGAAGCGGUUAAAAGUCUGGCUGUACUUCACAGCAAAAUAUGCAAACUCAGCAGCCUGCAACAAGUGCUUUAAGGUGAUACUGUCAAAGGAGGUAAGACCUGAAAUCCGAUGAAACACCUGGCGUCGCAUAGCGUUUUUUUUAAAAGCCCAGAAAUGCGCCGUAUGAUAGCUUGCUGCGAGACCUCACACCGAGCACAUCUACUGUGAGUGGGUUGCCUGUUAUCGGCAAUAUCCCCCAAAAACCCAGAAGAGGAGAGUCCUGGCCCCUAGCCCUGCCAGUGUAGCAGAAAUGAUGAUGGCAGCAGCAGCCGUUCUUCUCUGCGAUGCAGACUUCUUCCUGUACCACUGCUUGAAGAAGGUGUCUUCCAGAAACUGGCAGUAGGACUGGGAGUUGAGCUUGACUCCAUCCUCAACCCGAAAAGGCCCCACAAGCUCAUCUUUGAUGAUACCAGCCCAAACCAGUGCUACACCUCCACCUUGCUGGCGUCUGAGUCGGACUGGAGCUCUCUGCCCUUUACCAAUCCAGCCACGGGCCCAACCAUCUGGCCCAUCAAGACUCACUCUCAUUUCAUCAGUCCAUAAAACCUUAGAAAAACCAGUCUUGAGAUAUUUGCCUUUGGCAUUGAUUAGAGGGGUUGACUCAAUUUGUUUUAACAUGUUUCAAUUUAUUUUAGUUUUUUAGUUAUUUAUUUUAUUUUAUCUUAUCUCAUUUUAAUUUUCUUUACUUAUGCUAUUAGCAUGUACAACACUUUGUGAACUCUGGUUUUAUGUUAAAGUGCUUUAUAAAUAAAGGUGGUAUGGUAUUUCUUGGCCCAGUCUUGAUGUUUCAGCUUGUGUGUCUUGUUCAGUGGUGGUCGUCUUUCAGCCUUUCUUACCUUGGCCAUGUCUCUGAGUAUUGCACACCUUGUGCUUUUGGGCACUCCAGUGAUGUUGCAGCUCUGAAAUAUGGCCAAACUGGUGGCAAGUGGCAUCUUGGCAGCUGCACGCUUGACUUUUCUCAGUUCAUGGGCAGUUAUUUGGCGCCUUGGUUUUUCCACACGCUUCUUGCGACCCUGUUGACUAUUUUGAAUGAAACGCUUGAUUGUUCGAUGAUCACGCUUCAGAAGCUUUGCAAUUUUGAGACUGCUGCAUCCCUCUGCAAGAUAUCUCACUAUUUUUGACUUUUCUGAGCCUGUCAAGUCCUUCUUUUGACCCAUUUUGCCAAAGGAAAGGACGUUGCCUAAUAAUUAUGCAC
ensembl:lncRNA